AACAUCGCCUCUUGCAAAAAUAAGGAAUAAGAGGUCCUGCCUGCCCAGUGACUUUAUGUUUAACGGCCGCGGUAUUUUGACCGUGCGAAGGUAGCGCAAUCACUUGUCUUUUAAAUAAAGACCGGUAUGAAUGGCAAGACGAGGGCUUGACUGUCUCCUUUUUCGAGUCAAUGAAAUUGAUCUCCCCGUGCAGAAGCGGGGAUACCCUCAUAAGACGAGAAGACCCUAUGGAGCUUUAGACACGAAGACAGCUUAUGUCAAAAACCCUGGUAUAAAAGGCUGAACUAAAUAGGCCUGCCCGAAUGUCUUUGGUUGGGGCGACCGCGGGGAAAUGAAUAACCCCCAUGUGGAAUGGGAGCACCCUCCUCCUAAAACCAAGAGUGACAACUCUAAGCAACAGAAUUUCUGACCAAUAUGAUCCGGCCCUGCCGAUCAACGGACCGAGUUACCCUAGGGAUAACAGCGC
rnacentral:rRNA from 1 species